GACAGAAAAGAUGGAGGCUGAAGCCAGAAAUAAACACACUGACCCAAAUAAAAGACAUUCAUGCUGAACAAGCAUCAUCCUGCCAGCCAAUCACCUGACUUCUUCCAUCAUUAGAAGAAGAAGCAUCACAGCAGGGUACACUCUGUAUCUGAGGAGGAGGUGAAGGGAGGAGACACACUCUGAGUGAGCUUCAGAACAUUCACAGUGUUGGUUCUAACAGUCAGCUCACAUCUCUGAGAUGGAGUCAGUGCACUUCAGUCUGCUCUCCAGAGUGUUUCUGAUCCUACUAACAGGUGUGAGCUGUGAAGAUCUCACUGCAGAGAGGAAAGAAGAGUCCGCUUUAGAGAACAGCUCUGUUACUCUGUCCUUCAGAUACUCCAGAGCUGCUGCUGGAGAUUAUUUCUACUGGUAUAGACAAGAUCCAGGAGAACCACCACAGUUCCUCAUCUCUCACACAGGGACAGGAACACCAUUAUCAGGUCCAGUUCUUGGACUGUCUUUUACAGUAAAGGAGAAACGUGUAGAUCUGGAGAUCUCCUCUGCUGCACUGACUGACUCUGCUGUGUACUACUGUGCUCUGAGGCCCACAGUGACAGGAAACACCAACACUCUGUACAAAAACCUUUGGAGCAAACACAACACAAUACUCCACAACAUCCACUAGAGGGAGACAUCAUCAAGCAGGUGUUGCUCUUCCUCUGUGUUCAACCAUCCUGACAAUAAAAAGGCUGCUGUGAAGAGAACAGUUGUCACUCUGAAUGAUGAACAUCAGCCUGUUCCUCCUGUAGAUUCAAACCUGGUAGAGAUGGGGCGUUGGCCGUGGAUUAUUCUGAGCGCUCUUUUAUUUGGGUUUAUAACUGCAGACACAAUCUCUCCUGUCAGAGAAGAAGUCAGAGGAACAGAAGGACAACCUGUGAAACUCUCAUGUAACUAUCAGACAGGAGAUGAUUAUGUUUACCUCUACUGGUACAGACAUCAGUCUGAC